rnacentral:rRNA from 1 species
CCUACGGGAGGCAGCAGUGAGGAAUAUUGGUCAAUGGCCGGAAGGCUGAACCAGCCAUGCCGCGUGAAGGUCAGUGCCCUAUGGGCGUUAAACUUCUUUUGUGCGGGAGCAAUAAUGGUCACGUGUGGCCAGACGAGAGUACCGUACGAAUAAGCAUCGGCUAACUCCGUGCCAGCAGCCGCGGUAAUACGGGGGAUGCAAGCGUUAUCCGGAUUUAUUGGGUUUAAAGGGUGCGUAGGCUGUGAGGUAAGUCAGCGGUGAAAUGCCCCCGCUCAACGGGGUGAAGUGACAUUGAUACUGCCUGGCUGGAAUGCGGAUGCCGUGGGAGGAAUGUGUGGUGUAGCGGUGAAAUGCAUAGAUAUCACACAGAACACCGAUUGCGAAGGCAUCUCACGAAUCCGCGAUUGACGCUGAUGCACGAAAGCGUGGGUAUCAAACAGGAUUAGAUACCCGAGUAGUC